UGGGGAAUCUUCCGCAAUGGACGAAAGUCUGACGGAGCAACGCCGCGUGAGUGAUGACGGCCUUCGGGUUGUAAAGCUCUGUUAAUCGGGACGAAAGGCCUUCUUGCGAACAGUUAGAAGGAUUGACGGUACCGGAAUAGAAAGCCACGGCUAACUACGUGCCAGCAGCCGCGGUAAUACGUAGGUGGCAAGCGUUGUCCGGAAUUAUUGGGCGUAAAGCGCGCGCAGGCGGAUUGGUCAGUCUGUCUUAAAAGUUCGGGGCUUAACCCCGUGAUGGGAUGGAAACUGCCAAUCUAGAGUAUCGGAGAGGAAAGUGGAAUUCCUAGUGUAGCGGUGAAAUGCGUAGAUAUUAGGAAGAACACCAGUGGCGAAGGCGACUUUCUGGACGAAAACUGACGCUGAGGCGCGAAAGCCAGGGGAGCGAACGGGAUUAGAUACCCCGGUAGUCCUGGCCGUAAACGAUGGGUACUAGGUGUAGGAGGUAUCGACCCCUUCUGUGCCGGAGUUAACGCAAUAAGUACCCCGCCUGGGGAGUACGACCGCAAGGUUG
rnacentral:rRNA from 1 species